GACGAACGCUGGCGGCGUGCUUAACACAUGCAAGUCGAACGGAAAGGCCCUGCUUUUGUGGGGUGCUCGAGUGGCGAACGGGUGAGUAACACGUGAGUAACCUGCCCUUGACUUUGGGAUAACUUCAGGAAACUGGGGCUAAUACCGGAUAGGAGCUCCUGCUGCAUGGUGGGGGUUGGAAAGUUUCGGCGGUUGGGGAUGGACUCGCGGCUUAUCAGCUUGUUGGUGGGGUAGUGGCUUACCAAGGCUUUGACGGGUAGCCGGCCUGAGAGGGUGACCGGCCACAGUGGGACUGAGAUACGGCCCAGACUCCUACGGGAGGCAGCAGUGGGGAAUAUUGCACAAUGGGCGGAAGCCUGAGGCAGCAGCGCCGCGGGCGGGAUGACGGCCUUCGGGUUGUAAACCGCUUUCGCCUGUGACGAAGCGUGAGUGACGGUAAUGGGUAAAGAAGCACCGGCUAACUACGUG
rnacentral:rRNA from 1 species